UAACAGUCUACAGCCAUGGUCG
rnacentral:ncRNA from 41 species